GGUUAAGCGACUAAGCGUACACGGUGGAUGCCCUGGCAGUCAGAGGCGAUGAAGGGCGUGCUAAUCUGCGAUAAGCGCCGGUAAGGUGAUAUGAACCGUUAUAACCGGCGAUACCCGAAUGGGGAAACCCAGUGUGACUCGUCACACUAUCAUUAACUGAAUCCAUAGGUUAAUGAGGCGAACCGGGGGAACUGAAACAUCUAAGUACCCCGAGGAAAAGAAAUCAACCGAGAUUCCCCCAGUAGCGGCGAGCGAACGGGGAGGAGCCCAGAGCCUGAAUCAGCAUGUGUGUUAGUGGAAGCGUCUGGAAAGGCGCGCGAUACAGGGUGACAGCCCCGUACACAAAAGCGCAUGUGCUGUGAGCUCGAUGAGUAGGGCGGGACACGUGGUAUCCUGUCUGAAUAUGGGGGGACCAUCCUCCAAGGCUAAAUACUCCUGACUGACCGAUAGUGAACCAGUACCGUGAGGGAAAGGCGAAAAGAACCCCGGCGAGGGGAGUGAAAAAGAACCUGAAACCGUGUACGUACAAGCAGUGGGAGCCCCACCACUAAGCCAGUGGUGAACUCCACAUACGCAUCCUUUGCUGAGGAUACGGUUAACGGAGCGAAAGCGACGUUCAACCUCAAAAGAAGCAGAGGGGGCUUAGUGGUGGGGUGACUGCGUACCUUUUGUAUAAUGGGUCAGCGACUUAUAUUCUGUAGCAAGGUUAACCGAAUAGGGGAGCCGGAGGGAAACCGAGUCUUAACUGGGCGUUAAGUUGCAGGGUAUAGACCCGAAACCCGGUGAUCUAGCCAUGGGCAGGUUGAAGGUUGGGUAACACUAACUGGAGGACCGAACCGACUAAUGUUGAAAAAUUAGCGGAUGACCUGUGGCUGGGGGUGAAAGGCCAAUCAAACCGGGAGAUAGCUGGUUCUCCCCGAAAGCUAUUUAGGUAGCGCCUCGUGAAUUCAUCUCCGGGGGUAGAGCACUGUUUCGGCUAGGGGGCCAUCCCGGCUUACCAACCCGAUGCAAACUGCGAAUACCGGAGAAUGUUAUCACGGGAGACACACGGCGGGUGCUAACGUCCGUCGUGAAGAGGGAAACAACCCAGACCGCCAGCUAAGGUCCCAAAGUCAUGGUUAAGUGGGAAACGAUGUGGGAAGGCCCAGACAGCCAGGAUGUUGGCUUAGAAGCAGCCAUCAUUUAAAGAAAGCGUAAUAGCUCACUGGUCGAGUCGGCCUGCGCGGAAGAUGUAACGGGGCUAAACCAUGCACCGAAGCUGCGGCAGCGACGCUGAUGCGUUGUUGGGUAGGGGAGCGUUCUGUAAGCCUGUGAAGGUGUGCUGUGAGGCAUGCUGGAGGUAUCAGAAGUGCGAAUGCUGACAUAAGUAACGAUAAAGCGGGUGAAAAGCCCGCUCGCCGGAAGACCAAGGGUUCCUGUCCAACGUUAAUCGGGGCAGGGUGAGUCGACCCCUAAGGCGAGGCCGAAAGGCGUAGUCGAUGGGAAACAGGUUAAUAUUCCUGUACUUGGUGUUACUGCGAAGGGGGGACGGAGAAGGCUAUGUUGGCCGGGCGACGGUUGUCCCGGUUUAAGCGUGUAGGCUGGUUUUCCAGGCAAAUCCGGAAAAUCAAGGCUGAGGCGUGAUGACGAGGCACUACGGUGCUGAAGCAACAAAUGCCCUGCUUCCAGGAAAAGCCUCUAAGCAUCAGGUAACAUCAAAUCGUACCCCAAACCGACACAGGUGGUCAGGUAGAGAAUACCAAGGCGCUUGAGAGAACUCGGGUGAAGGAACUAGGCAAAAUGGUGCCGUAACUUCGGGAGAAGGCACGCUGACACGUAGGUGAAGUGAUUUACUCAUGGAGCUGAAGUCAGUCGAAGAUACCAGCUGGCUGCAACUGUUUAUUAAAAACACAGCACUGUGCAAACACGAAAGUGGACGUAUACGGUGUGACGCCUGCCCGGUGCCGGAAGGUUAAUUGAUGGGGUCAGCGCAAGCGAAGCUCCUGAUCGAAGCCCCGGUAAACGGCGGCCGUAACUAUAACGGUCCUAAGGUAGCGAAAUUCCUUGUCGGGUAAGUUCCGACCUGCACGAAUGGCGUAAUGAUGGCCAGGCUGUCUCCACCCGAGACUCAGUGAAAUUGAACUCGCUGUGAAGAUGCAGUGUACCCGCGGCAAGACGGAAAGACCCCGUGAACCUUUACUAUAGCUUGACACUGAACAUUGAGCCUUGAUGUGUAGGAUAGGUGGGAGGCUUUGAAGUGUGGACGCCAGUCUGCAUGGAGCCGACCUUGAAAUACCACCCUUUAAUGUUUGAUGUUCUAACGUGGACCCGUAAUCCGGGUUGCGGACAGUGUCUGGUGGGUAGUUUGACUGGGGCGGUCUCCUCCUAAAGAGUAACGGAGGAGCACGAAGGUUGGCUAAUCCUGGUCGGACAUCAGGAGGUUAGUGCAAUGGCAUAAGCCAGCUUGACUGCGAGCGUGACGGCGCGAGCAGGUGCGAAAGCAGGUCAUAGUGAUCCGGUGGUUCUGAAUGGAAGGGCCAUCGCUCAACGGAUAAAAGGUACUCCGGGGAUAACAGGCUGAUACCGCCCAAGAGUUCAUAUCGACGGCGGUGUUUGGCACCUCGAUGUCGGCUCAUCACAUCCUGGGGCUGAAGUAGGUCCCAAGGGUAUGGCUGUUCGCCAUUUAAAGUGGUACGCGAGCUGGGUUUAGAACGUCGUGAGACAGUUCGGUCCCUAUCUGCCGUGGGCGCUGGAGAACUGAGGGGGGCUGCUCCUAGUACGAGAGGACCGGAGUGGACGCAUCACUGGUGUUCGGGUUGUCAUGCCAAUGGCACUGCCCGGUAGCUAAAUGCGGAAGAGAUAAGUGCUGAAAGCAUCUAAGCACGAAACUUGCCCCGAGAUGAGUUCUCCCUGAGACUUAGAGUCUCCUGAAGGAACGUUGAAGACGACGACGUUGAUAGGCCGGGUGUGUAAGCGCAGCGAUGCGUUGAGCUAACCGGUACUAAUGAACCGUGAGGCUUAACCUU
rnacentral:rRNA from 1 species